CGAAGGGUGCAAGCGUUACUCGGAAUUGCUGGGCGUAAAGCGUGCGUAGGUGGUUGUUUAAGCCUGUCGUGAAAGCCCCGGGCUCAACCUGGGAAUUGCGAUGGAAACUGGGCGACUAGAGUGUGGCAGAGGAUAGUGGAAUUCCUGGUGUAGCAGUGAAAUGCGUAGAGAUCAGGAGGAACAUCCGUGGCGAAGGCGACUGUCUGGGCCAACACUGACACUGAGGCACGAAAGCGUGGGGAGCAAACAGGAUUAGAUACCCUGGUAGUCCACGCCCUAAACGAUGCGAACUGGAUGUUGGGUGCAAUUUGGCACGCAGUAUCGAAGCUAACGCGUUAAGUUCGCCGCCUGGGGAGUACGGUCGCAAGACUG
rnacentral:rRNA from 1 species